rnacentral:rRNA from 1 species
CCUACGGGAGGCAGCAGUGAGGAAUAUUGGUCAAUGGACGAGAGUCUGAACGAGCCAAGUAGCGUGAAGGAUGACUGCCCUAUGGGUUGUAAACUUCUUUUAUAUGGGAAUAAAAUGUUCCACGUGUGGGAUUUUGUAUGUACCAUAUGAAUAAGGAUCGGCUAACUCCGUGCUAGCCGCCGCGGUACUACGGAGGAUCCGAGCGUUAUCCGGAUUUAUUGGGUUUAAAGGGAGCGUAGGUGGAUUUUUAAGUCAGUUGUGAAAGUUUGCGGCUCAACCGUAACAUUGCAGUUGAAACUGGCAGACUUGAGUACAGUAGAGGUGAGCGGAAUGCGAGGUGUAGCGGUGAAAUGCUUAGAUAUCACGAAGAACUCCGAUUGCGAAGGCAGUUCACUGGACUGCAACUGACACUGAGGCUCGAAAGUGUGGGUAUCAAACAGGAUUAGAUACCCGAGUAGUC